CUCCAUCUUCCAAAAAGCACUGGCACUUAAACCUUGCUUCAGGUACUGUUUCUGGAAUACUCAAGUUGUGAGAGGAGAAUUAACAGCCAGACUGAGCUGGAGACACUACCACAUGGGCUGGUCUGGCUGGACGGUGUUUGGCUGCUGCCCACCUGACAAGAAUGAAGGAUAAUCAAUACCUGUUCCUGAUGACGUGAUGCACACUGUGGCAGGCACAUGG